rnacentral:antisense_RNA from 1 species
GACUACCCGGCAGAAGGGACGUCCCCAAAUGACACUCGGAGGUGCCGGGUACUCGGCAAAUGGUACUCGGUGCCAAAUGGUACUCGGUGCCGGGAGGAGCGGCGCGGCUUUCUAACCCGCCUCAGGUGCGCCAGCACGUUUUCUGGGCAGCAUCUGUGUGUUAGGCGACCGGAGAGGUGGGUUCCUUAUAGGGAAUAAGAAAACUGAAACUGACUUCCAACUGCAGGCAGAAGGAAGCAGUGGUCAUUGCUGGAGGUUAAAACUGUUCUGACGGGGCGCGGUGGCUCACGCCUGUAAUCCCAGCACUUUGGGAGGCGGAGGCGAGCGGAUCACGAGGUCAGGAGAUCAAGACCAUCCUGGCCAACAAGGUGAAACCCCGUCUCUACUAAAAAUACAAAAAUUAGCUGGGCGUGGUGGCGCGCGCCGGAAGUCACAGCUACUUGGGAGGAUGAGGCAGAAGAAUCGCUUGAACCCGGGAGGCGGAGGUUGCAGUGAGCCGAGAUCGCGCCAUUGCACUCCAGCCUGGCGACUCAGGGAUACUCCGUCCCCCUCCCCCCGCCGCAAGAAAAACCUGUUCAAUGGGGAGCGACAAGGAAGGAGCUUUCAGCCCGACUGGUGUCGCAGGGAAGAAUUCAAGAUGGCGUGUUUAGAAACUAGACCUUGACAAAUUAGUAAAAUGUUAGUCUUAGGAGAAGAACGAAAAGGCUCUCCUAGGCUAAGAAACAGCAUACACAGUGAGAAACCUCAGAAGAAAUAAAAUUCAAGGAAGAUAGCAACAACGAAAACAUCAGAAGGAACCCUAAAGUAGUCAAAUCAGCUUAGCAGAAACAAACUAAGUAUGUUAACCAAUGGAAAACUGAAGGAGAGAAAUAAACUGUUUUUGCACAGCUAAAUGGAAAUGACUUUUGAAUUAUCUGCUUUGGAAGAUUAUCCAUGACACUGUUCUGCCCUGCUCUGCUCUAACAACAUUUGUAAGUCACUCAACAGUUAAUAAUAAAAGUCAGUUUUGAAUAUUGCAUGUUUUAGACACAGAACAAAUGUAAUGUGACACUGUAGGAAGAAUGAAUUCUCCUUAGUUCCAAAUUCCUUUUUUUUUCUUAGAUUCAGGAAUAAGUAGGUAAAGAUACAAGAUUCUCUUAACCAGUAUCAGUAUAAUUGUUCCCUUUAGAUUUAUUGCUGUCACCCCAAUGCUCUUCUUUCUUUCUAGAGGGAAGGAAAAGAAGGAGGUAAUAGGAAAAGUAAUGGGUUGUCCUGAUGUUACUGUGUCUAGGGUGUCAUUGCCACUGGUCUCCUCAGAUCAAUCAUUCUGCCUAAUAAACAGAAAAAUAACAUGGGCAGCCUCACGUGCAAGCUUUUACACACACUGCUAAAGAGAUCUCGCUUCCUCUGAGAAGUGAGGAUAUGAGAAUGAGGGAAGAGUAUAUUGAUUUUACAGAACUGGGUGACAGGUUAAAUUGGGCAUCUGGAGGUUUAUAUUCCCAUCUCCACUCACCAAGUUUCAUCCUCCAUUUAUGACCAAGGAUAGGUAUAACAUCUGAUCUUGAUGGUUACUGUUUCAAAAAACAAUCUGAUCUUUUUUAUAAAGUUAAACAUUUACUUAAU